CCUACGGGAGGCAGCAGUAGGGAAUCUUCCGCAAUGGACGAAAGUCUGACGGAGCAACGCCGCGUGAACGAUGAAGGCCUUCGGGUCGUAAAGUUCUGUUGUUAGGGAAGAACAAGUAUCGGAGUAACUGCCGGUACCUUGACGGUACCUAACCAGAAAGCCACGGCUAACUACGUGCCAGCAGCCGCGGUAAU
rnacentral:rRNA from 1 species